UGGAGAAUCUGUCAGCAUGGAUGCUUGAAGAGGGAUGGUGCCUCUUUUAAAUAGCAGAUUUCCCUUGCCUUCCAAUAGGACUCUUCUGUGAUCUCUACUUCUCUUCAAAGGCUUGGCCAGAAUUUCUUGAGGAGGAAGAAAACAAGCAUUUAUGAAGUACCUACUUUGUGCCAAGUACUGUGCUAAGAACUUUAUAAAUAUUAUUCCAUUUGAUCCUCACAACAGCUCUGGAAGGGUCCUAUUUUCCUGGGCCUGCCUCCACUGCCAAGAAAGGACAUACUGUAACCAUGAGCACCAGGAAGCAAAGGCAAAGCCCCUGAACCUGAGGUUAGCCCCCACAGAUGCCAAGAGGGAAUCGUAAAAUAAAUUAUGUGGUGUGUUUUUGG